UACGUAGGGUGCAGGCGUUAAUCGGAAUUACUGGGCGUAACGCGUGCGCAGGCGGUUUUGUAAGCCAGAUGUGAAAUCCCCGGGCUUAACCUGGGAACUGCAUUUGGGACUGCAAGGCUUGAGUACGGCAGAGGGGGGUAGAAUUCCUGGUGUAGCAGUGAAAUGCGUAGAUAUCAGGAGGAAUACCGAUGGCGAAGGCAGCCCCCUGGGUCGAUACUGACGCUCAUGCACGAAAGCGUGGGGAGCAAACAGG
rnacentral:rRNA from 1 species